AACAGGAUUAGAUACCCUGGUAGUCCACACAGUAAACGAUGAAUACUCGCUGUUUGCGAUAUACAGUAAGCGGCCAAGCGAAAGCGUUAAGUAUUCCACCUGGGGAGUACGCCGGCAACGGUGAAACUCAAAGGAAUUGACGGGGGCCCGCACAAGCGGAGGAACAUGUGGUUUAAUUCGAUGAUACGCGAGGAACCUUACCCGGGCUUGAAUUGCAACUGAAUGAUGUGGAGACAUGUCAGCCGCAAGGCAGUUGUGAAGGUGCUGCAUGGUUGUCGUCAGCUCGUGCCGUGAGGUGUCGGCUUAAGUGCCAUAACGAGCGCAACCCUUAUCGAUAGUUACCAUCAGGUUAUGCUGGGGACUCUGUCGAGACUGCCGUCGUAAGAUGUGAGGAAGGUGGGGAUGACGUCAAAUCAGCACGGCCCUUACGUCCGGGGCUACACACGUGUUACAAUGGGGGGUACAGAAGGCAGCUACACGGCGACGUGAUGCUAAUCCCUAAAGCCUCUCUCAGUUCGGAUUGGAGUCUGCAACCCGACUCCAUGAAGCUGGAUUCGCUAGUAAUCGCGCAUCAGCCACGGCGCGGUGAAUACGUUCCCGGGCCUUGUACACACCGCCCGUCAAGCCAUGAAAGCCGGGGGUACCUGAAGUGCGUAACCGCAAGGAGCGCCCUAGGGUAAAACUGGUGAUUGGGGCUAAGUCGUAACAAGGUAACC
rnacentral:rRNA from 1 species